UUCAAAUCUUUCACGAAGAAUAGCCUCCCUUGUUAGGUUUCGUGAGAAACGGAAGGAGAGAUGUUUUGACAAGAAAAUAAGAUACACUGUGCGAAAAGAGGUUGGCACAAAGGAUGCACCGCAAGAAUGGGCAGUUUGCAUCCUUGAAAGAAAGUUCAGGUGGUUCAAGUUGGGACUCUGCACCGAGUUGUCUACAGGAUGGCACUCCUUGUCCUGAAACUUUUGUUUGGAGAUGCCAACAUUGUGGUGUUAGUGAAAAUAAGACUCCCGCAAUGCGUCGUGGGCCCGCUGGACCAAGGACAUUAUGUAAUGCAUGUGGCCUGAUGUGGGCGAAUAAGGGAACACUGAGGGACCUACGCAAAGGAGGAAGGAAUGUUCCUCCAGAACAAAUUGAACCCGAAACCCCGAUUGAUGUCAAGCCUCCUAUCAUGGAAGGAGAAUUUUCAGGCAACCAGGAUGAACAUGGAACUCCUGAAGAUCCUUCUAAAGCUGUAACUGAAGGAUCCAACAAUCCCUCUGUUAAUCCAGAAGUAGU
rnacentral:misc_RNA from 1 species